rnacentral:lncRNA from 1 species
CUACACGUAGGUCAGGUCAACAUUGAAUAAAAAAAGGGAGGAGGAAAAGUAAUAAUAAAAGAAGACUAGCAACCCAGAUAAGCCAAGGUGGUCAAGGCUGAACAUAUCCCCUACGUGUAAGACAGGUCAAUAUUGAAUAAAACAAGGGAGGAGGAAAAGAAGACUUGCAACCAAGAUAAGCCAAGGCAGUCAAGGCUGAACAAAACUAGAAAGCACAAAUGAUAAUAAAAGGACACAUGGCAACCCAAGCCAAGGGAGAACCAUCCUUUCUUUUUUUUCCUUUGAUAGAAUUCUAAUCAAAAUGUGUGAGGACAUUCACAAAUGAUCAAAAGACACUGUAGCCAUAUGUAAGGUGGGCAUUUUCCAUCAAAAGUCAACCCUAAACCAUGCACCUUAAUUUUAAAAGCUAAGUUUUUUCUUCUUUUAAUCAUGAUAGUCAUGGAUGUAACAUUGAAACUUCUUUUGUUCAGAUUUAAAGCAUGUGAUUUAGAAAAGGUGAUAAAAAUCAUGUCAACAUCUUCAUACCUG